GCAAAACUUGGAAGACUGCCCCCUGAUCGACCAAAGUAAGAUGCCACUCAAUGUGACAGAUUGCGCGCGGGAGAACGGGAUGAGUAAGCUAUGCCUCGCGUUCGGUACGGGAAGAGGGCUGGCGCCUAGAGGACUCAUCGCUUGCUUCUCCAGAUACAAAGACAUGAUCGACACAUGUCGGAAUGAUACGUCAUCGUUCCAAGGGCAGCUAAUCGACGUAAAGACCAUGAUGCAAUGUCGUUUUCGUCCGUCUUUUGCCAAGGUCACCACGCCCAAGAGAUUUUCAUUUUUCUUCUAACACCCGACGCUGAUCGGCAAUCAAAGAGACAUUAGAAAGACGAGCGCAAAGACUUUCGA